CCUGCAAACAGGCAACAACACCCAAACACAACGUCAGGCAGAGUCCAGGGAACAGGAGACUUCAGGGAGACAAAGUAAGGCUUUCGUCUACAAGGAAUUGAACAUGCAGAGAUAGCAUCUGGAUUUUGAAGAACAGCUUCUGGGGAGCCCAGAAAGAUGGCCGCAGUGCUGGCUGGACAACCUGAGCUUGCUUUCCUGACCCCUGUAAAGGCAGAUGGAGAGGACCAACUCCACAAGUUAUCCUACCCGUUUCUGAGCCCUUCUAUUUAAGCAGCUUCCCUUCCACCAAAGAUGCUCUGACUGCAACGCUAUUCGAUAGAGUCAAGCGCUCUCUGGUCCCAUGUGCCUGAUCCCAGGAGUCUCUAAGCACAAAAGCACGUGUCCCCUCAGUCUGCUGCGCCAGUCUCAUUCCAGCUAACAGGCCUCCGCCCGUGGCUGCACAGACACCAGAUUCAGCCUCUCCAGCCCUCUCUGGCUUUUCUCUGGUGAGAGCUUUGCUCCCACGUUCUUUCUGAGCAUUUCUCUGCAUUUCUCCAUCAUUUCAGAAUCUCUUUGUGUCCAUUGUGGGUGAUGUGUUUCCUCCCACACUCCCUCCUCUGGACACCACACACUGAGAAAUGGAAAAUGUUAACUCAACAGCCUGAGGGGCUUUGGGACAGGUUGGGUUAACACACUCCCUCUCUCUCCCCAAAGUCUUUAGUAGAAUGCACUGUGUGGUUCUGUGUCACUGUUCUGGAUGCAGAAAUCGACAAAUUCCCAUAAACGAUGCAGAAACGAAGAAACAACCAUAAGACUGAGGGCAAGAAUCAAGACUUCUGCAGGAGCUUGAAGACCUUGUCCUGGAGAAAAAAAACGAGGAAGUGUGUGCUGGACACCAGGGGUCUCCAGGGGAGGCCACCAGGACUCCCCAGAGUUCAUAGUGAAAGCAGAUGUUAUUUUCAAUGGUUUUGAAGAGAAAAAUAAACACUGGGUAAGAUC